rnacentral:rRNA from 1 species
UUUUUAGAUCUUUCUAGAGGAGUUUGCCACCUAACCGAUAACCCACGAAAAACCUCUCCACCCUUUGAAAAUCCCAGCAUGUAUACCAUCGUCGUAAGUCUACCUCUUAAGAGAAGUAUACUCAAAGAACUUUACUCCUUAUGUCAGAUCGAGGUGCAGCAAAUAAGGUGGGGGUUGGUGAACUACAAUAUUUCCCUAAAUCACUCAAAAACUCAAUUAUGAACAUCAACACGUGAAAUCAUUGAUCAAAAUAGGAUUUAGUAGUAAUACCUAAAAGAAACUAGGUAUGAAACAAAAAGCUCUAAAAUACGC